rnacentral:rRNA from 1 species
GCGGGAGUGUUACUGACGCUUAAGCUCGAAGGUGCGGGUAUCGAACAGGAUUAGAUACCCUGGUAGUCCGCACAGUAAACGAUGGAUGCCCGCCGUUGGCGCCCUGCGCCUGCGGCCAAGCGAAAGCAUUAAGCAUCCCACCUGGGGAGUACGCCGGCAACGGUGAAACUCAAAGGAAUUGACGGGGGCCCGCACAAGCGGAGGAACAUGUGGUUUAAUUCGAUGAUACGCGAGGAACCUUACCCGGGCUUGAAUUGCAGUCGCUGCCCACAGAGACGUGGGCUUCCCUUCGGGGCGUCUGUGAAGGUGCUGCAUGGUUGUCGUCAGCUCGUGCCGUGAGGUGUCGGCUUAAGUGCCAUAACGAGCGCAACCCCCUUUCCCAGUUGCCAUCGGGUUAUGCCGGGCACUCUGGGGACACUGCCACCGCAAGGUGCGAGGAAGGUGGGGAUGACGUCAAAUCAGCACGGCCCUUACGUCCGGGGCUACACACGUGUUACAAUGGCCGGUACAGAGGGACGGUGCAAUGCAAGUUGCAUCCAAUCUUGAAAUCCGGUCCCAGUUCGGACUGGGGUCUGCAACCCGACCCCACGAAGCUGGAUUCGCUAGUAAUCGCGCAUCAGCCAUGGCGCGGUGAAUACGUUCCCGGGCCUUGUACACACCGCCCGUCAAGCCAUGAAAGCCGGGGGUGCCUGAAGUUCGUGACCGCGAGGAGCGACCUAGGGCAAGACCGGUGAUUGGGGCUAAGUCGUAACAAGGUAGCCGUACCGGAAGG